rnacentral:misc_RNA from 1 species
AGGAAAAAAAAAAACUCAACUCUUGACGGGAAAUAAAGAACCUCAGAUACUGCUUUAAAUAGAGAGAUAAAACAUAAUGGAAGACCAUAUGAAACUAGAACAAACGAAGAGCAUCGAAUGAAGAAGUUACAGGUUCCUUAUGGGCAUCAACAAUCUGAUUUAAUUAACAGAAGAAGAUAUGGAGUUUCGGUUCGAGAAUAUUAAUGGGGAAGGAGCUGUAUGGAUUGAUAUUCAUCCAUACAAGCAAUACAAGUGAAGUUUGGUUCACAUGCAGCAAAUUAAAGUAAUGGAUAGGGCAGUUCUUUCAGCUGUUUUUUUAAUAAGCAAAAAUUUUAUUCAUAUUAAAACUUCUACUAAAACCUGGCCAAUAAACCAUCCGAUAGACCCAACCUAAGAAUCUCUUUGAGAUGUUAUACGUGUAACAGAGAAAGCCUGUAGUCAUUUGGAAAUAUAAGCUAAGGAUUAUCUUUUACAUGAACAAAACGCCAUCACGUCAUCUUGUUGAAAGAGAGAAGGAAAAAAGAGGUGAUGAGAAUGGUUACGUCCAUGGAAUAGACUCUUUGAGCUACGAUUUUUUUGCAAGUGGGAAGUAUAUAAAAUCACUGGUAGCUGUCCUGGCUAAGCUUCAACUGAAACCCAUGUCCAAAAUCUUUGCAAUGGUUACGAUGGAAUGAAGGAAAUGGCCAGGUAUUUCUGUUUUCAGAUCAUGACCAAGUAUGAAAUGGCACCAUGAAUGCAUGCCAUUUCCGUAUCAUGCCCACCUUUCCAUAAUUGAGGGUGAAAAAAGAAAGAAACUGGAAAAAUCUCAGAGUAAACGUUCAUUUUGUUUGCUGAUAGACCAGUGGUGCCUGCUUUCUUACCUACCAUUCUCAAGUUUUCCCCUUUAUAUUAAAUUCCUAGUUAGUUGGUUCGUUAAAGUGGAGGUAGGGGUUAAUGCAUGAAAGGCAAAUAUCCAAUUCUAUAAAGGUAUCAAACAUGAAUUUUUCUUUCACUUGGCUCCGCAUUGUAGCAGAAAUGCAAAUGACUUUCUGACUAAUAUUAUCUAUACUUGGUCGCUUGUAAGAUGCAAGAAAAUAGAACAGGCAAAAUAAACCUCAGAAAUAAAAAGAGUUGGGACUUAAUUAUUUGACCAGAUAGCAGUUAUUGCUUCUAGGAAAAACUUGUCACUUCCACGGCUAUGUUUCAACAAAAUUUCAAGAGCUGAUAAGCUUUUCCUCAAGAUUAGCAAUUCUUCGCCAUCUAUUAAUUUGCCAAACAAAAAGGGUUGGCUCACUUAAUUUACUUGAUUGAAAUCCCAAGUGUCUCAUAUUUCAACACUUGUUUGUCUGUCUUUUACUAAAAAAAUCAACAUAAUUCUAUUAGCAUGGCACAAUGUGAUUGGACCAGAUACCAGGAGAAGAUCUAGAAUCCCAGCAUGACACAGCUUCUAGCAUUAUUGUUUCAUUGCUAAACUUGUUUAGAUUGUAAUUAUAGUUACAGAGGCUUUCUUAAUGUAAUGAAAAACCUUAUGACCAGAAAACAAUCUCUAUGAUGCUAGAAAGACACAUUGUCAAAACUCCUCAUUUUGCCACUUCAUUAGAAAUAAAUGAACUGUUCUAUACAAACCAUCUAAAUAACUCCUCAUUAUGCACCUAUAAAUCCAUAAUGGUAGACUAUUUUCAUUAUGUUACAUCAUCAUAACAAUAAAAAGCCUCUCCUAUUCUAUUUUUCUAUUUUUCCUCCACGCAUAACCAUGUUGUCAAGCAAUCCAUAUCAAGCACAGGUAGAAAGAUUAGACUAUGGCAAACAAAAAUUAAAUGGUUAGAGAAAACUCAGCUGGAGCCUGCAGCUAACUUGUAACCUCAAACAACCAUUAUUGGCUGCUGAAUUGGUAAUUCUCUUGAUGCGCGGGAUCCUAACCAUUUACGUGCAUUGAUGAAAAGUAAAUGCUUAACCUCAAUUCUCAUGCCUCCUUAAUAUGUUCGACUCUUUCUCCGAUUCAUCAUAGCAUGUUCAGAAUUCAUUAACUUAUACUUGACCUUAGAAAGCAAUUUCCUGCCCUAAGACCAGCGUUACCAAACAACAUAAAGAUUUAUAGACAGCAAUAGAAAUUCCAGGUUCAAAAUAAUUAAGCACACACUAAAGCUAUAUCAUGUAAGUAAGCAGAUGAGAUACAACAUAGAUUCUGAACACGUCCAGAAGAUGAAUAAAUCGAACUUUUGUAAAAAGACCGCAUUUCCUUUUUCACUGAAAAAUCAGAGAGAUACUGAAAAGUGUUUCUCAAUUAUAUGGUCUUGAGAUGAGAUUACUUAGUAUGUAACUCUAUCAAUAAUUCUCAUCAUGUCUAAAAGUUGAAACAAACUUGAUAGAACGAGUAUCAAUUAUUUUUGAUAAAUCAGCAACAAGGAAGAAAAUUGUUCAAGACAUAAGCAAAACUAAUUUGCCAAAUCAAUUAUUUUGUUACAAUAUUUUUGAAAAAGAAGCUCAAAGAGCUACCAGCACUUGAGGGAAAUAAAGGAAAUAGAAAUUUGACCACAUAAGUAGCUCUGGCUCAUGCUAGAGUAUCUGUCUGCUUAGCUUGCUGCAAUAGCUCUUCUCUGACCCUCCUGAUCUCCAUCUCCUUUUCAAGUCUUUCCUUCUCAAAUUUAAACAACAUUGUAAGAUGGUAUUUCAAUUUUCACAGGAGAAUCACAUAAAUCAAGGUAGUUCGAGAACAGCAAGCUCCUUGCCAUCUUUUCAAGACCAUCCCCAUAUUUUGACCAUCGCUAGAUGAAUUAGUACAGACAAAAUUUAAAAAAUGAACUUGGGCAGCUCAAAUUCAAACUUAAAUAUAAAAUAAUUGCAAAAUUUCCAUCAACAACAUGCAAACUCCAAGAAAGCAUUUGAAAAAAGAAUUGGAAGAUACAAGCACCUUCUCAUCCUGGUGAAGAGCAAUCCAGACGUGGACUCUAUCCAUUGAUUGCCAAAAUAGAAAGGCCCCAAAUGAUAUCCCGAAAAACGUUGCCACUCUCACCAUCUUCACAAUUGACUCUAUUCUUCGCCUCUUCCUCGAGAUACUGGGGAGUGG